rnacentral:rRNA from 1 species
AUUGAACGCUGGCGGCAUGCUUUACACAUGCAAGUCGAACGGCAGCGCGGGCUUCGGCCUGGCGGCGAGUGGCGAACGGGUGAGUAAUGCAUCGGAACGUGCCCAGUAGUGGGGGAUAGCCCGGCGAAAGCCGGAUUAAUACCGCAUACGACCUGAGGGUGAAAGCGGGGGACCGAAAGGCCUCGCGCUAUUGGAGCGGCCGAUGUCGGAUUAGCUAGUUGGUGGGGUAAAGGCUUACCAAGGCGACGAUCCGUAGCUGGUCUGAGAGGACGACCAGCCACACUGGGACUGAGACAAGGCCCAGACUCCUACGGGAGGCAGCAGUGGGGAAUUUUGGACAAUGGGGGCAACCCUGAUCCAGCCAUGCCGCGUGCGGGAAGAAGGCCUUCGGGUUGUAAACCGCUUUUGUUCGGGAAGAAAUCCUCUGGGCUAAUACCCCGGGGGGAUGACGGUACCGGAAGAAUAAGCACCGGCUAACUACGUG